UAUCUGUCCUGCCUCUCUGCUCCCAGCCGUUAAGAGGCCAGUGUUGAUCAGUGGCUGUCCAGGCCUUUCAGAGCCACUGACACGCCGGCAGCACAAUCAUCAUGUCUCUGACUCUACUGCUGGCCACCCUGGGGCUCCUUGUUCAGGGUUCAUCAGGAGACAUCACCCUGACUCAGUCUCCUGGAUCUCUGUCUGUUGUUCUGGGACAGACUGUCUCUAUCAGAUGUGAAGCCAGUUCAAGUGUUGAGUAUAGUGGUUAUAAGUGGCUCCACUGGUACUUUCAUAAACCAGGAGAAGCUCCUAAACUCCUGAUUUAUAGAGCUACAGGUCGUCACUCUGGAGUUUCAGAUCGUUUUAGUGGAAUUGCAUCUAGUGGGACUGACUACACUCUGACCAUCAGUAGAGUUCAGGCUGAAGAUUCAGGAGUUUACUACUGUCAGCAGAGUUACAGCACACCGUUCACACAGUGAUACAACGUCAUACAAAAACCUCCCUCAGCUGCAGAGGAACUGAUCUGACUCAACAGCUGCACUGACACUAAAACAACAGAGUUUUCAUCACAGCAUACUGUAUGUUAAGAAGUCAUUAUAUAAUAAAAUAAUUUCUUUGGAUGAUCAAAAUAGUUUUAUUGAUCUUUAGUUUGAAGAAGAUUUAUGUUUCUAAAGUUCACUACAACUACAGCCAAACACACACAGCAAGUGUCAAAGCAGUGUCCUUUAAACUGUGGUAUUCUAAAACAGUUACAUUAAAAUCAACGUUUUAAAUAUUGUAUAGUUGAAGAGAUUUUAGUUAUUAUGAAACUUCAUUUAACUCUUUUCAUUUCAUCUGAUUGAUCAGCUGCAAUAAAAGUAAAAGAAAAUGGUACAAAUUCUUCUAAUGAUGCAGUGACACAGGGCUUCAGACAAUGAGUCCAAUAUUAAAGCUAAACUCUGUUCUUUCAUGAUUUUCAUUACCUGAUAAGUUUACUUCACCAAGUAUGAAAACACAUGAACACUAAAGAUAUAAAUAUUAUAAAUUCUCCUAUAAAGAAUAAAUUCUCGCAGUUUAAGCCAAAACAUGUUAAUCACUGAAAUAAAAAAUACAAAAAAAUCUUUAUCAAUGAAACUGAAUCCUGUUAUAUAAUUCCUAAUCAUGUAGUUAUGUCAUAUUUUUGUCAUGGUGUGUGUUCUGUAUUCCACCGAAUAAAGAAAUGUAUUUUAGGAUUAAAACCAAAAAGGAUUUAUGUAUCCUUACAGAUUUGGAAACACUUUUUUGUUUUUGAUAUCUUUCAUUUUUCAACAUUUUCAAUUUUUGUAUAUUUUGUAGCUCCAAAUUAUUAAUUAAUUAUGUUUUUGUUGUGUGUGUUCUGUAUUCCAGCGAAUAAAGAAAUGUGUUUCAGGAUUAAAACCAAAAAAGAAUUUAUGUGGAUAAUUUGGAAACACUU